rnacentral:lncRNA from 1 species
UGGGGCUGAAGAAUGGACUUGCAAGAUGGCCUCACUAACAUGGCUGGCAAGCUGGUGUUGACUGUUGGCUUGAAGCUCAGCUGGGGCUGUUAACCAGUGGCCUCACUUCCUUUCUGCUUGGCCUCUCCACAUGGCUAGAUUGGACUUCUCACAGGGAGGCAGUCUCUGGAUAUUCAAACUUCUUACAUGGUGGCUGGCUUCUUCUAAAAUACAAAAAUGAAAGCUGCCAGGCCUUUGUAAGGCUUAGAAUUGAACUGGCACCCUGUCACUUCCUCCAUGAUCUAUUGGUUAAAGAAGGUCACAGAACCAGCCCAGAUUCAAGGAGCGGGGAACAAUCCAAGGACAUGAAUAUUGCUUUAAAAAAAAUCCAUUUUCAGAAAAGUGACUUAUAUAAACAGUCCCCACCUCGGAGAAUUCCAGGAUAUGCUUUAUCCACUGGGCACUAAAACCAAGAAAACUGAUCUGGGUCAUUUCAGGCUUCCAUCCUUUGUUAUUUCAAGUCAAUAAAAAUAGUUGGGAGGAAGGUGACUCAGGAUCUGGCUUGCUCUGUC